AACGCGAAGAACCUUACCUGGGCUUGAACCGCACAGGACCAUCUCUAGAAAUAGGGACUUCCCGCAAGGACACUCGUAGAGGUGCUGCAUGGCUGUCGUCAGCUCGUGUCGUGAGAUGUUGGGUUAAGUCCCGCAACGAGCGCAACCCUUGUCUUCUGUUGCCAUCAGGUAAAGCUGGGCACUCUGGAGAGACUGCCGGUGAUAAACCGGAGGAAGGUGGGGAUGACGUCAAGUCAGCAUGGCCUUUAUGUCUGGGGCUACACACGUGCUACAAUGGCCGGCACAAACCGUCGCAAAACCGCGAGGUGGAGCUAAUCGGAUAAAGUCGGUCUCAGUUCGGAUAGCAGGCUGCAACUCGCCUGCUUGAAGUUGGAAUCGCUAGUAAUCGCGGAUCAGCACGCCGCGGUGAAUACGUUCCCGGGCCUUGUACACACCGGCUAC
rnacentral:rRNA from 1 species